AGUUUAUGCUGCAGAACUUUGCACUAUGUAGUUUAGAUAUGACACAAUUACCAAAACAUGCCUCUCAUGCAGAAGACCCACAUUGGGCUGUGAGAGUGCUUCCUCUUCUUAGAGAAGACUUGGGUUUCAUUUCUAGCACCUACCUCAGGUCACUCACAAUUCAGCUCCAAGGCCAGAGCCUGAUACCUUUUUUGCCUCUAUAGAAACCUGGCCACACUUAGCAUAUACUUAGACACAGACACACUUGAAAUUAAGUCUUAAAAUCUUUUAAGGGUCUGGAGAGAUGGCUCAGGGGUUAAGAACAAUGGCUGAUUUUCUAGAGGGUCCUGGCUUGAUUUCCAGCACCCACAUAGAUUCCUUAUGUCCUUAUGUAACAUACUUCUGAAUUCAAUGAAUAUUCACAAUAAAAAUAUUUUUAAAUUCUAAGGCCCAAUGAGAUAACUCACUGGAUAAAGGUGUCUGUACUGCCAAGCUCAGUUCCCUGACUUCUGUCUUGGGUAGUCACGAGAUAAAGGAGAGCACCACCUCAGAUACAGCACCCUCUGACAUCCACGCACAUGAGUGCUCCCAUGAGUGCUCUUAAAUAAGUAGUUAAUAGUGCUACUUACAAAAUGUACAGUAAGAGUUUUAAUAUAUUUAGUAGAGAUAUGAAUGUAUGAUAAAGAAUAAACUUUAAUAAAGAUAAUUGCCCAUAAUUAUCCUUGAGGAUUGUAAAAGAACACUUCAGUGAUAGUCAAAAAAAAGAAUUUACCUUUAAGUUUGAAUUAAAUUUUUAAAAUUUAUUUCUUGUUUUUUAUUUAUAAUUAGAACCCAUAAUCUUUAUAUCUUGAGAGUGGGUUUUACUGUGUGACCUGAAACUCAAAUCCUCCUGCUUCUACCUCCUAAAAACUACGCUGAAAGAUGUGUGCCACCACUCCUGGCCUGGAGCCCAUAAACAUUUUAAAUCAUGUGAGUUUUAAAGUAUUUAAACUAAAAGUUAUUUUAAGAGUUAUUUACAGGAUCAGACAUGAUGGUCACACACAAUUAUGAGCUGUCAUGAGAUUUGGGAGUUAAACCUUUGUCCUCUGAAAGAGCAGCACAUCCUUUCAACUGCUGAGCCUCUUCCCAGCCCUUGAUUGCAUGUGUGUCUGCAUGGAGGUAUGGCCACUAUGCGGCAUGUGUGUGUAUACAUGCUUUAAUGUCUAUGGGAAUAUAAAGAUGGAUGUAUGUUCAUGUCUUCAUACUUUAUAUCCGAAAGUUUCAUAGGUUAAUCACAGCCACAACUUUCUCAGAUUUGAAGAAGAGAACUUUUGGUUGUUGAACUUUUUUUUGGGGGGGGGGUCUGUUUGUGUGUGCAUGUCUCUCUGUAUAUAUAUGUAUGAGUCUUUGAACACACCUAGAGGUCAGAUAACAACUUUUGUGAGUCAUUGCUCUUCUUCCAGUGCGUGGGUCCUAGGGAUCAAACUCUGGGAGCUAGGUUUGAAGAGGGAUUCCUUUACCCACUGAGCCAUCUCACAGGCCUUCUUUCUUUUUAAAUAUUUAUUCUAAAUAAUAUAUCAAGUUAACUCUAUUAAGAAAUUAAAUGGUAUAAAAUAACCAGAAGAUAAGUUACUGAGACUUAGACAAAUGUUGCUCUUGUCCAAGGUAAUUUAACACAAAUAUUUACCUCUGACCGUAUAUUCAGGUCAGACUAAGCUGUUACUGGUGCAUGACUUACAAUUCUUUUUUCAGAUGUGAUAAAAGUACGUGUGCAGUUCUCUCAUUAGAAGAUUGUAAAUUCCUUGCCUUUCCCCCCCCCCCCCAAGUUUUUAAGUUUGGGAAAAAUUCUAAUGAUUUUUUCCUUGUAUCUAUAUAUAAAAGACUAAUCUUGGCCUCCCCUCAAAGUGUCUGAACUCUAAAGGUCAUUUAGGCCUUGCCAGUUUUGUUUAAUUUAAGCUUUUGUUUGCACUGAGUAGAUUUCAGAGUAGGUUCUCACCAGUUUGCUUGGUGGUUGUUGUUGUUGUUGUUGUUGUUCUUUUUUUUAAGAUUUACUUUACUAUAUGUAAGUACACUGUAGCUGUCUUCAGACACACCAGAAGAUCUCAUUACAUAUGGUUGUGAGUCACCAUGUGGUUGAUGGGAUUUGAACUCAGGACCUUUGGAAGAGCAGUCACUGCUCUUAACUGCUGAGCCAUCUUGCGAGCCCAGUUUGCUUAGUUCUUACUGUCGGGUUUUUUCUUUAUAGGCCUUGAAGCAGCAACAACAGAAGAAGAAGCAGCAGCAAUGCAGACCAAGCAUGUCCAUCUCCAAUCAACACCUCUCUCUCAAGACUGUCAAAGCAGCCAGUGACUCUGUACCUGCCAAACCUGGUAGGCAAACUGAGCAUUCACCCUGUCCAAUGGAAUUUUUCCCCCAGCAUAUUUGUACUUUUGAUAUUAUAAAUUUUUUUACUGAAUUUUUCAUUUUUAAAUUGCUAUAUUUAUUAGCAUAAUCUUUCUGCUGCCACAGAAUCCU
rnacentral:lncRNA from 1 species